rnacentral:lncRNA from 1 species
CAGCUCACACACACGGGCGCCAGGGGAGCGAUACAAGAGGACGUGACGACAGCGCCAGUAGCAGCAGCAGCAACAACAGUAGCAGUAGUAGUAGCAAUAUUGGAAGCGGCGACGGCGCCAAGCAGCCCAACAGCAGCCGGGCAGGUGUGACGGCGUCAAGCGCUGGGGAUACAGCUAAGAAAUGGGUCCCGCCUGGCCGGUUGUGGGCGCGGGGUGGCGAUAGCAGCGGCACCAGCAGUGGUGGGAGCAGCGAGGAGGACAAGACGGAUGGCACGAGCUGCGAAAGCAGCACCGACAGCAGCGGCAGCGAGAGCAGUGGCCCCUACCCUCCGAGAAGCGGUGGCGUCAGCGGGG